AUUGAACGCUGGCGGCCGGCCUAACACAUGCACGUCGAGAGAGCGGCGGACGGGUGAGUAAUGUAUGGGGACUGCCCGAUGGAGGGGGAUCACUACUGGAAACGGUGGCUAAUACCGCAUACUAUCGGAUAACCCAUAUGGGAUUAGCUAGUGGGUGGGGUAAAGGCUCACCUAGUCGACGAUCACUAGCUGGUCUGAGAGGAGGAUCAUCCACACUGGGAGUGAGACACGGCCGAGCAUCCUACGGAGGCAGCAGUGGGGAAUAGUGCACUAUGGGUGCAAGGCUGAGGCAGCCAGGCCGCGUGUAUGAAGAAGUCCUUAGGGUUGUAAAGUACUUUCAGCGGGGAGGCGUUGCCCGCAGAAGAAGCACCGGCUAACUCCGUGCCAGCAGCCGCGGUAAUUC
rnacentral:rRNA from 1 species